AACAAAAUGAAAAUAAAAAAUAACAAGAAGAUCAUUAAUAUACACAAUAAAAGUAAAUAUUUUAAGAGUCCCCUGUCCUCAGUUCAAUAGACUGUUUUAAAAAGGAUCCUAGCUUAUUUACCUGAAUGUGUGAAAUUGGGUUGAGUAUAUAUAUGCUAUUUUAUCUAUGUCAUUUAAAGUCAUAUGAAACGAGUGACCGGUGAAAAAUAAUGUUAUUCCAAUUCUUGAACCAAUGCAUACAAACAUCAUAAACUUAAAAUUAGUCUUCUGUGCACGAUUUUAUCUUUUUUUU
rnacentral:lncRNA from 1 species